UGUUAUGGCGGCUGUGCGCGGGAGGUCUUCGGACCUGCCGGGUUUCCUAUUGUCCCGGUUUCUCAGCCUGCGCACAGCUGCCACCCUU
rnacentral:antisense_RNA from 1 species